rnacentral:lncRNA from 1 species
CGUGCAUCUAAGAUCAAAAGCUUCUGAGGCUGUAUUGCCAAACUCUCUGCUCCCGAGGCAUUAGAGAUUGAGGAAUCAAAUUCCACAUCAGAGAGGUCUCCUCCGUUGGAGAAAUCUCUUGAACAAUUUCCAUUCACUAGUUUGUUACUGCUGGACCUUGAAUCUGACGCACAGGCUUUGGCUACGGACUGGACAAGGUGCUCAUCAUCUGCAUUCCUCCAGCCCCACCAACUGACCUCAGGUUGUCCACAGCGGGAAAUGACUGCUCCAUUGCUCUGGUGCCUGUACACAACAGCAGGGAUGCGCUUCCAAGACCGAAAGCUUGCCACGCUCUCCAGCUCUUUAUCCGUGAUCCAGGCAGGAACUAUAAUUUCCUGGGGGUAGCUACCACAGAGCUUGUACUUUUCAUUGAUGUUGGAAAUUCUCCAGGCAUUGUUCAUAUCAAAACCCAUCCUCUCCACUUCAUUUUUAAACCUUGAAGUUACGUGUUCUCC